GCACUGUGGCUUAAGAGAGCAAGGCGUUCCUGAAUGCAGCCAACAUCAACUGGUAAACAAAAAACUGUGAGAACGGAUCCUGAAUCUUGCGCUUACCAGGGGAAAUUCAGGAGAGAUAUGAACCUGAGCAAGAUGAGGUUGAAGUUACUCAAUGCGGCAUUAAGCCUGUUCACGGCCACUUCCUCCGGCGUCACCAACACACACACUGUACACCAGCAGUAUUUUUACACGGGGUAUGUGUGUUAAGUACUAUCAGGUGGAUAAUUAUUACUUCACCUGUAUUUGCUGCCUUGAUACCAUUAGAGAAACUCAUGAAUUAUAAAUAGCAUAGUGAAUUUGUGAUUCCCUGAAGAUAUACUAAGGUGGACUUUUAAAAAGGCUUCUAUUCCAAAGGGAACUAAUAUGGAGGAAAUGGUUUCGAGAAAGAAAAAAGAAAAAACGGAGUCCUUGAUUAGUUGUGGGGAAGGCAACAUAAUGUAAUGUGAAGAAUAAAGGAGUCAGAUCCAGGAAACCCCAUAACUAUUAUCUUUUCUACCAUGGGAAGAUGCAGUGUUUUUCCCCUACAAGGAUUCAGCAUCAAGGCUUCAUCUUGGAAGCAGAGAUUGGACCUUCACCAGAAAAUGGAACACGGCGGCACCUUGAUCUUGAACUUCCCAGCCUCCAGAACUGAGAGAAAAUAAAUUUUAUAUCAUAGCAGCACAAACAAAGACAGGCUCCUUCAGCAGCUUCACAGAACCUUGGAUGCCUCCUGGCCCAGGAGCCAGUGGGGACACCUGGCCAUUCCUGGGAGGUGGAGAAAGGAUGCAUGGAGGAAGAGAGGCAUCCACCUGGCUCAGAGAACACUAAGCAGCAAAAUAUUGAAAGAGUUGUAGUGCUUCUCUUAACUGCUUCUAUUAAAAUGCAAGAGGAGAGAAAUGACUUAAAGAUAAAAUUUAUAAUUAAAAGAGAAGCAGAAUGUAAAGAUUUGGAAAAUUCACAGCCUGGGCAUAUAAAGAUUUAAAAAAUGUGUUGGGGAGAAAACCGAGAGUGGCCAAAUGACUGUUGAUAUGGAGAUUACUAUGGAUACAAGGAAGCCAGCUUUCUGCCAUGUGAGGACGCUACCAGAAGGCCCUCAUCAGAAACUCAAACCUGCAAGAGCCUU
rnacentral:lncRNA from 1 species